GCUGGGCCUGCCUCUUCCUUCCCUCCCGCCCGCCAUGAGGUGCCCGGGCCUGCCCUCCCCUUCCCUGCCGCCAUCAGGUGAGGGGCUGGGCCUCCUCCUUCCCUCCCGCCAUGAGGGCUGCCAGCUGAUCCGUGGCUGAGGCGUGGGAAGGGACGGGCCGUGGCUCGGAGGUCUGGGGUAGCAAAGAGCCGCUGGGAAGGUAAACCCUGGCUGGUGCCCGUCGUGUGUGUGAAACCCCCGAGUUCUGCCGUAGUGUGACCCUGUGGGGAGGAGAUGUGAAGGAAUAACCUGCGCCGGGAUUGCUGAGGAGCGGCUGAGCCACGUGGGCAAGUGGUUGUCAUGUUCUGCUGCAGGUGUGGGCUCACUGCAGCAGCAGGAGUCGUUAAAAGGAAAGAAAUGCUGCUGUUGGUGCUGUUCUGAAGAUGCCUAUUUGAAAGAGAGAGAAGAUGGAAAUUUCCAGAGCACAAUUUCAGUGGGACUACUGGGGAAGUACUUUUUUUCAGGAUCUGGAUAUGCUAACCUGAAACAUCAGAGGUGGCUGGGGCCAAGGUAUAAUAAGAAUACACCAUUUUUAAAAUUGUAAAUCCCCUCUCACUGCUUGUUUAACAUGUGUUUUUUUCAGUGACUUCUAUUUAUUAAACUUAUUUAUAUUUAAA